rnacentral:rRNA from 1 species
GAUGAACGCUGGCGGCGUGCCUAAUACAUGCAAGUCGAGCGAACAGACGAGGAGCUUGCUCCUCUGACGUUAGCGGCGGACGGGUGAGUAACACGUGGAUAACCUACCUAUAAGACUGGGAUAACUUCGGGAAACCGGAGCUAAUACCGGAUAAUAUAUUGAACCGCAUGGUUCAAUAGUGAAAGACGGUUUUGCUGUCACUUAUAGAUGGAUCCGCGCCGCAUUAGCUAGUUGGUAAGGUAACGGCUUACCAAGGCAACGAUGCGUAGCCGACCUGAGAGGGUGAUCGGCCACACUGGAACUGAGACACGGUCCAGACUCCUACGGGAGGCAGCAGUAGGGAAUCUUCCGCAGUGGGCGAAAGCCCGACGGAGCAACGCCGCGUGAGUGAUGAAGGUCUUCGGAUCGUAAAACUCUGUUAUUAGGGAAGAACAAAUGUGUAAGUAACUAUGCACGUCUUGACGGUACCUAAUCAGAAAGCCACGGCUAACUACGU